AUACUUGCUUGGGCAGCAUGUCUACUAAAAUUGGAAUGAUACAGAGAAGGUUAGCAUGGCCCUGUGGAAGGAUGACACACAAAUUCAUGAAGUGUUCCAUAUUUUU
rnacentral:snRNA from 1 species